UACGUAGGUGGCAAGCGUUAUCCGGAUUUAUUGGGCGUAAAGGGAACGCAGGUGGUUUAUUAAGUCUGGUGUAAAAGGCAGUGGCUCAACCAUUGUAUGCAUUGGAAACUGGUAGACUUGAGUGCAGGAGAGGAGAGUGGAAUUCUAUGUGUAGCGGUGAAAUGCGUAGAUAUAUGGAGGAACACCGGUGGCGAAAGCGGCUCUCUGGCCUGUAACUGACACUGAGGCUCGAAAGCGUGGGGAGCAAACAGG
rnacentral:rRNA from 1 species